GGGCGAAUAGCUCAGUUGGGAGAGCACCUGCCUUACAAGCAGGGGGUCACAGGUUCAAGUCCUGUUUCGCCCACCA
rnacentral:tRNA from 8 species